rnacentral:rRNA from 1 species
AACGAACGCUGGCGGCAUGCCUAAUACAUGCAAGUCGAACGAACACUUCGGUGUUAGUGGCGCACGGGUGCGUAACGCGUGGGAAUCUACCCUUGGGUUCGGAAUAACAGUUAGAAAUGACUGCUAAUACCGGAUGAUGACGUAAGUCCAAAGAUUUAUCGCCCAAGGAUGAGCCCGCGUAGGAUUAGCUUGUUGGUGAGGUAAAAGCUCACCAAGGCGACGAUCCUUAGCUGGUCUGAGAGGAUGAUCAGCCACACUGGGACUGAGACACGGCCCAGACUCCUACGGGAGGCAGCAGUAGGGAAUAUUGGACAAUGGGGGAAACCCUGAUCCAGCAAUGCCGCGUGAGUGAUGAAGGCCUUAGGGUUGUAAAGCUCUUUUACCCGAGAUGAUAAUGACAGUAUCGGGAGAAUAAGCUCCGGCUAACUCCGUGCCAGCCGCCGCCGUAACAC